UACGAAGGGGGCUAGCGUUGUUCGGAAUUACUGGGCGUAAAGCGCACGUAGGCGGCUGUUUAAGUUAGGGGUGAAAUCCCAGGGCUCAACCCUGGAACUGCCUCUAAUACUGGGCAUCUAGAGUCCGAGAGAGGUGAGUGGAAUUCCGAGUGUAGAGGUGAAAUUCGUAGAUAUUCGGAGGAACACCAGUGGCGUAGGCGGCUCACUGGCUCGGUACUGACGCUGAGGAACGAAAGCCAGGGGAGCGAACGGG
rnacentral:rRNA from 1 species